GUCAAAUAAAUCAAAAAAUAAAAAACAAAACAAAACGGACCAACAACUGCAUUCGAAUUUGCAUCUGUAAUGUCUGUAUGCUGUCGCAACUCGCAGGAACCCCAUGUAUGUACAAAAACCAAUUAUGAUUUGACUUAAGUUGGAGUACAACAGCGUGUGUGAUACACGGAUUCGAUAAAAAAAAAAACCCAAAAACAAACAUCGUUAAUCGUCAAAAGAUUAUUGAGGGUAUGCGUUAAUAUAUUAUUGGUAUCAUACGGGUCGCCGUGGACGUUGUAUUAAAACAGUAUUUAUAUGUUGCUUACAACCGAGUACUCGUGAUUGCUG